CCCUUAGAUGUUCUGGGCCGCACGCGCGCUACACUGAUGCAUUCAACGAGUCUAAAACCUGGUCUGAUAGGGCUGGGUAAUCUUUUGAAUGUGCAUCGUGAUUGGGAUAGAUGAUUGCAAUUCUUCAUCUUCAACGAGGAAUGCCUAGUAAACGCAAGUCAUCAGCUUGCAUUGAUUACGUCCCUGCCCUUUGUACACACCGCCCGUCGCUCCUACCGAUUGAAUGAUCCGAUGAAUAUCAUGGAUUGAGGAUGCAAGCAGGUUCGCCUGUCUUCAUCUUCGAGAAGUGAAGUAAAUCUUAUCAUUUAGAGGAAGGAGAAGUCGUAACA
rnacentral:rRNA from 1 species